AAUCAACGCUGGCGGCGUGCCUCAGACAUGCAAGUCGAACGAUUAAAGCUCUCUUCGGAGAGUGCAUAGAGUGGCGCACGGGUGAGUAACACGUAAGUAAUCUACCUUCGAGUGGGGAAUAACGUCCGGAAACGGACGCUAAUACCGCAUAAUGCAGCGGCAUCGCAAGAUGACAGUUGUUAAAGGAGCAAUUCGCUUGAAGAGGAGCUUGCGGCAGAUUAGCUAGUUGGUAAGGUAAUGGCUUACCAAGGCUACGAUCUGUAACCGGUCUAAGAGGACGGUCGGUCACACUGACACUGAAUAACGGGUCAGACUCCUACGGGGAGGCAGCAGUCGGGAAUUUUGGGCAAUGGGCGAAAGCCUGA
rnacentral:rRNA from 1 species